rnacentral:rRNA from 1 species
UACGUAGGGGGCUAGCGUUGUCCGGAAUCAUUGGGCGUAAAGCGCGUGUAGGCGGUCCGGUAAGUCCGCUGUGAAAGUCGGGGGCUCAACCCUCGGAUGCCGGUGGAUACUGUCGGGCUUGAGUACGGAAGAGGCGAGUUGGAAUUCCUGGUGUAGCGGUGAAAUGCGCAGAUAUCAGGAGGAACACCAAUUGCGAAGGCAGCUCGCUGGGACGUUACUGACGCUGAGACGCGAAGCUAGGGGAGCAAACAGG